UUUCAACGAAGUACCUCUAAGCUGGUCGGAUUUGUACAUGAAGAGAGUAAUGAGAACCAAGACCUUGCCUCAAGUGUACUGGCCAUCCAUGCAAGAGUAUAUCGAUCAGCAAAUCCAUGAGCUCUCGUACGAAUGUACCUUUUUAACAUUUCAUUUAAAAGCUCCUUAACAUUUUCAUCUUUAAAUGCUUCAUCAUUUUCCUUCUCCCAUUUUUCCACUACAUCA